rnacentral:pre_miRNA from 13 species
UCUUUUCCGUAGACAGGAACCGAGCUGGUUUAUCUUUGUUGAUGAUUUCAAACAUAGUAUUCAUCAACGGGAGUAAACCAGCUCUGAUCUCACGUGGGAAA